GGCUGCCCGCGGGCUGGAAGCCGCGGUGAGAGCCCGGUGCGGCCCCGCACGGGAGAAACGCGGAGCCGAGCCCGGCCGCCGCAGCCUGGGGUCCGGAGGCGCGGAGCUGCCGGGGCCGGGCCGCUGCGGGUGGGCUCCGGGACAAGGGACCGGGGGCGGCCGGGCCGCGGCGGGGCUCCCGCGCCGCUCGGGCAAGACGGGCGAGCGGGGCGAGGAGCGGGGCCGCUGCGGGCCGGGGCACGGCGGGGGCCGGGGCAGCAGCUGCCUCGCCGGGGCUGGGUCUGCGUGCGCGGGAGGCGCCGACGGGCCCGAGAAAACGGGGUGCGGGCACCAGGCAGGCGCUGCGCCGAGCCGUGCGGGGCGGGCAUGGCCCUGCACCCCUCCCUUCCUCCUCCUCCUCCUCCCCUUCCUCCUCCUCCUCAUCCUCCUCGUCCUCCUCCUCCUCCACGGCGCCGGCAGCGCGGGGGCAGCUGGGUUAAGCCCCCCGUCCCACCCCGUCCCGUCCCGUCUCGCCACCCCUGACCAGGGCGUAGCGGCGGCCCCCGGCCGCGACACCGCCCGGAGCGGCUCGCAGCGCCCGGCCGAGCCGGGCCGUCCCGUACUGGGCAGAGCUGAGCCCCGCGGUCGUGCGGCCGAGAGACGGCCGAGCCCCCCGCCCCCCCGCUGUAGCCCCCUCCCUCCCUCCUCCUCGACGGCCUUCCCGGGGCGUGCGGCGCGGAGCAAUGAAAUGCCGUAUCGAUUAAACGAUUAUUCAGGCGAUUUAACUAAUAAAAGGCCCCAUCGAUCGCUUCGAAAUUGCAUUCUUUAUACGCGGCUGGCGAGGCCUCGUCCGCCCGCACGCCCGCGCGGGACCCGCUCCGGCCGCCGGGCCCCGGUGCCGCCGCGGGGGCUCCCGGCGCACGAUCCCAGCGCCGAAGGCGCACGAUCCGGCCGGCCCCAGCGGCCGCGGGCGGCCACCCCCGUAGCCCCGGGGAGGCCGCGACGCUUCGCGGCGGGGCCCCUCGGCACCCCUCGGACGGCCCCGACGGCCCCGCCGCGCUCGGCCCCGCCGCGUCCCGCCCGGCCCCGCCGCGCCACGGCCACGCGUGAGCGGCCGCGACCGCACCGAGCGGAGCGGCCAGGCGCGGCCGGGGGUCCAGAGGGCCCCCGCGGUGGCGGAGUGCCCCCGGCUCCCUCCGAUGCUGAGCCCGAGUCCUACCUGUCCGGCCGGCCCGUGGAGUCGCGUAGGUUUUCUCUAAAUCCAUCCCGAUUUUUCAGGACUUGGUGAAAUGGACAGAGAAAAAAGUUUCCACGUUGUGUGGUUACUGCCUUUUAUUUUCUUUUCGUCUUUUUCUUUUCUCUUUCUUUUCUCUUUCUUUUCUCUUUCUUUUCCCUUCUUUUAUUUUCUCUUCUUUCUUUUCCUGUUGUUUUCUUUUCUUUUCUCUUCUGUUUCCUUUUUCUGUUUCUUCUUUUUCUUUUCUUUUCUUUUCUUUUCUUUUCUUUUCUUUUCUUUUCUUUUCUUUUCUUUUCUUUUCUUUUC
rnacentral:lncRNA from 1 species